rnacentral:sRNA from 1 species
AUCCAAUAGUGAGAGCUUUAAGAAGAUGCACAUUGGUAAAGUUACAUCAACGAGAGAAGGAGAAUCUAGGGUGAUCAUGU